UGGAACUUGCAAAAAAAAAAUAUAGCAAGUAGUGGAACUUGCAAAAAAAAAAUAUAUCGAGUAGUGGAACUUUGCAUAAAAUAUAUAUAGCGAGUAGUGGAACUUGCAAAUUUUUUUGAUAGAGGGCUCUGGCUUACGUUCACGCCAUGUCUAUUGUUAACAAUGAUUAAUAUAUAGUUUCAUUAAUGGAAUUUAAUAUCUUAAUCAUUAACUAAAAGCCAAGACGCAAACUAAUUAGAAUAAUAUUAUAAAACAUUUUUUGUUUUUGAAAUUCUUUUUUAGGUCAGAGGGGGAACCAUCUAUAACUAUCACAAAGCAUUGUGUGAUGUAUUUUGAGUUUUGGUUGUCAAAAAAAAAAGGGGGGGGGACAACACGCCCCCUCCCCCAUUUACACCCCUUGAAACAAGGGGUGCGCUGCUAGUGAUUUUGAAAAGUAGUAAAAUAUAAUUUUUGAUUUGAAUACUAGAUUUCUUUUUAAUUAUAAAGAUAAAUAUUUAUAUAAAGAGUCACUUUUGAUAAUAGGGUGUUUGAAACCAUCACCCUUACAUCCACCCAAAGGCAAUGAUGAAUAUUCUAUAUUUGAUUGUGGUCUGAUAGCUAAUAACAAAAACAUCUUGCAUAUAAAAAAAUUUACAUUUUCAUUAAAAAAAAACACUUUUUUAUAAAUAUAUUUUUUUAUAUCUUUUAUAUAUCUUUAUUGCCGGUAAGGAUGGUGGUUUUGUGCCCCCUCUUACUCCCCGGAUGCGCCCGUAAUCUAGAAAUCUUUGUAAAUUUGUAGAUGACUCUUGUAUCUAUCUUUUGAUACCAAGAUAUAAACAUUUGGAUAAGAAUUGGUUAAGUUAUAAUAGUUUUAGUUAAUAAAAAGUUUAUUUUGA